AGAAAGGAGGAGGAGGAGAAAGGAGGAGGAGGAGAAAGGAGGAGGAGGAGAAAGGAGGAGGAGGAGAAAGGAGGAGGAGAAAGGAGGAGAGGGAGAGGGAGGGGGAGAAGGGGAAGGAGAGGAAGGAGAGGAAGAAGAGGAAGAAGAAGAAAGUAGUAGUUGAAAUUGUUGUUUUGUAGCAUCUACAACUUAGUCCUGAUGAAAGAGAGCCCAGACUGACGGGCAGCUGGUGUGGGCAGCUCCAUCCCUGAGGCUUUCAGGAAAGAAGCAAGGAUCACAAGAAGCCUACCCAGCUGAACCCAGAAUGGAGGAGAGAGGGUGGAGUAUAACUGGCGGGCAGCCCCACAUUCCCUGGCACAGAAUAAUUCAAGUAGGCUGACAAGGAAAGCCACUCCUUAAUGUCACUCUUCUCUACCCAAAUUCCUUACUUUUACCCUGUUGGCCAGAACCCACUUUCACUUCCAUACUUACCUGCCCUCCUUCCUUUCCUGAAACCCCUUCUUCAGGCCAGUUAUGGUCUCUAUUUUCCCUAGGCUCAUCACGGAAUGUCUCAAGAAGAUCAGAUAGUGGGCAUGGGCUCAGCUUUCUGGAGCGCUCUUGCACGACUUCCUGACCUUCUCUCAAUAGAAAUCUGAGCCAUAGAGCUCUACUGAGUAAAGCAGGGGCCAGGAAAAGCCAAGGUCAAAGACCAUCGCAGGUGGCUUCCCUCUAGCCCAGGAACAGUGCCCUCUCCUAAGCUGCAUGGCUGGGCUCAUAAAAUCUCAUCCCCACCCCAGAAGUAAAGAUCCCAAGGUCAGGUUGAGUCAGCUGAGGAUGAGACAGCCCUGCCACCUUAGAUAUGAAGGCCAGCACCCUGGUCCCCUCACGGUGUGCACGACUGGCUGAAUCAGCCUCAGGAGGCCCUCUGUGAGGGCGGUAUCUAAUUUUGUGCUGUGUUGCAUAUUCAGUGUGUGCUUAGUUUUAAUAACAGUAAUGAAAAUAAAUAGAACCCAGGUCCCCCAGUGCUUGAUCCAGCCCUCUUUUCACCAGAUGGGCUCCUUCUGUCUUGCCUAUAAAAAAUGUCACUAAAAAUAUCUCUCUUUUGAGUCUCUACCUUGCUCCGUAGGAGGUGACCACAUUAGGACAGCCAAGAGGCAAUGUCGUAGCUCAGCCAAUGGCCAGCAUCCUCCCGUGAAGGCUGAGCCUCUUGGGCAUUUUUUGCCUGCCUGUGGGGCACAGUGAGAAGCUGGAAAAUACCUCCCAGGCAUCAAAUGCUAUGAGAUGCUGAGCUCAGAGAGAGCUGUAGCAAAUCCUGGGGCAGAGUGACUCCUCACAAACACCUUCUCCUACAAAAGAGGACACCUACAGUCCCAUCUCACAAGAUGCAUCUCCUGCAGUCUCUGUGGUGAGAAUCCAGGUCCAGGAGGUGUUGCAGCUCCACGCUCACUCAUUCAUCAAAGAACACUUGCCAUGUGCCCCCAGUGUGCUGGGCAUGGCCAACUGGGCAUGAGAGACCCAUCCCAGGAAGCUUCAGGAAGGGCUGCUGAAGAAAGGAAAGGGUGGAAGGAGCCACUAACCAGGCUAGGUAGAGCCAGCAAAAUCGACCUGCACAGUCCACGCAGGACCACCUUCAUGACCACAUGCCUGGACCUCCACCCCUGCCACCUUUUCUUACCUUGGGGGCACUGUGAACAGGUUCUCACUAGGAGCACACACCAGCACUGCACAGGGCCCACUCCACCCUCCAAACCCCGGGCUGAGAAGGAGGCUGUAGGGGGAGACAAGAUUCUAUGGCUCUGCACGCCUGUCAGCAGGUGAAACCCAAGGAAACACCUGACAGGGAGCCCUGAGACCUUCAACACCUGGCCACGCUGAAGUGCUGGGAGCAGGCACCGGAGAAGAGCUGGGAGAGCCAAGAGAAGAUCAGAGUGUAUCUGCUAAAAAGGUGGGCCCCAUCCAAUCAGUUGAAGUCCUGACUGGAACAAAAGACUGACCUCCCUUGAGAAAGUGGGAAUUCUGCCAGCAGACAGCCUUCAGACUUGAACUGCAAUGUUGCCUCCUCCCUGGGUCUCCAGCCUGCCAGCCAACCCUGCAGAUUUUCGACUUGCCAGCCUCCAUAAUCGUUCUUGUCAAUGAGGUCGGCCAGCAGCUGCUUCAGCACAUCAGUGGCGUACUCCAGCUUGCUCUGCAGCACGGUCAUGAUGAGUGAGGCCACGUUGCCACGGUCGCGCAUGGAGAAGCUACGCUGGGACUCAAGCGUGCGGAUGAAGGACAGCAGGAACACCUUGUUGUUGAUGAGCUGGGCGAAGAGCUUCAGGCCUUUCUCCACACGCUCCUGCCGGUAGCCCGGGACCUGCAGAGAGACCUAGGAGUCGUGAUGCCAUUGGCAGCCCUAGGGGUGCUGUUGAUACACCAGUGGCCUCGGAGUCAGGACAUCUGGGUUCCACGUGGAUUCUGAUACCACCUUGCUGGGUAACUCUGGGGACUCUCUCUAAGACCCUGCUCUAUGCAGGGGAAGAGGAAGAAGAUGGUCUUAUCUUUCUGCCUCCAUUGUCUGUUCAUUGGGAGAUCUCUGCAAGGGUGUACCAUUCACUCAGCAAACACGAGUCAAUGACUCAGGUUGGUACAUGACCAGUGCCUGGGAAGCACCUUUCUUGAAGGCCUGGACUUAACCCAGAGAGCCCCACUUGAGGGGGCUGGGUGACCUCCCCUCCAGGACAGCCUGAAGCAAGAGGACACCUCCUUCUUCACACUUCCAGAGGAAUUUGUAUACUCUCCAGGGCCCUAAGAGAAUCCUGGUAAUUUGAAGCAAACGAAGAUCAGCCCUACAGCCUUACCUUCCUGCUAGAGGAAGAAAGCUGGAGAUUGCUGAAAUGCGUCAUGUUAAGACACCCCCAGACCUCCCCUCGAGUAGAGUGCAAAACCCACUCAACCAGGAUUCCAGCCAGUGUGGAAAGAAUGACAAUACAGAAGAGAGAAGCUCAAAAGUGAACAUGAAGAAAGAACUUGGGGUGUGGGGUAGCUACAGGAAAAGUUCUUUGUGGGACAGAAUCCCCUCUUGGAAAGCCUUGGUGGCCUGAGCUCACAUCUGCAUCCCUACUGCCCGCUCCAUCCAGGAUGGGGUUCUGCCAGCCUCACCAUCACUUUGUGCCUGCCGAUGAGGUUGGGGGACUCGCAGAGCAGCUGGACAUCUGACACGGUCACGGUGCACGGCUUCUCCCCAACCAGCACAGUGUAGUUCAGCUUCACGUUGCCCCCAGCCACAGGCGGGAUCAGGUUCUUGCCCUGUACAAAUGGGAAAGCACCAGUUCCCACCCCAGAGUGAGGACCACAGCUACCAGCUGGCUCUCAUGUCCUCCCACCUGGAGGUCCCAUCCCGCUGGUGAGCUGGUGAAGAAGCCACCUUUGGUAAUAAGUGCAAAAAAUAUUCAUGGCAUGACUACCACCAUUGCCUCUUCCUCCCAGUGGCUAAUCAGUUAUCAAAGUACUCCUUUCAGCUUAUCCCAAAUGCAGCCUCAGAAUCCUUCUCAAUGCAGAGUUGGAGUCAGUCACUACCAAUUGAUUCAAAUUGUCAUAAGCUUUAAUUAACCUGUAACCCAUGUUCCAAAGGAAGCCCUAUGCUGUGGUUCGCACAAGGCUGCCUCAGAGGAAGCAGUGAGCCUGACCUGCCAGUACUUGGACUUUCAGGACAAUAAAAGCUUGAGAGUCAAAUAGCCAAGGUGGAUCUGCCUUCCCUGGGUAGAACCGGCCCCUAAAGAGAGUUUUCUUCCCAGUACAGACUCAGAGAGAACAUUUAUCACACUCUGGGCUACACUGCAACCUCUGCAAGAGAUGCUGGUUGAGAAAUGUGGCAGGAGUCUGUGACUUGAACACCCCCUUCCAUGCAGCAGCCCCUUCUUUUCCCACCCCCGCCUCCCACCACCCUCACUCCACCUUUAGGAUGAUGGGCGUGCCAGGCUUGAGCUCCAGGAUUCCUGAGGGACCAAAGGCCUCAAACACCGGGUUGGGAUAGUAGGUGAAGUUGG
rnacentral:lncRNA from 10 species